GAUGAACGCUGGCGGCGUGCCUAAUACAUGCAAGUCGAACGGACAGACGAUGAUCUUGCGGGUCUGACGUUAGGCGCGCGCGUGUGAGUAACACGUGUAUACCCUACCUAUCAUACUGGGAUAACUUCGAGAAACGGGAUCUUAUACCAUAUGAGAUCUUGAAGCGCGGGGGGCAAUGGUGAAAUACGGUGGUUCGGUCUCGUAUAGAGGGAUCCGAGCUGCAUUAGCUAGUUGGUAAGGUAACGGCUUACCAAGGGAACGAUGCGUAGCCGAACUGAGAGGGUGAUCGGCCACACUGGAACUGAGACACGGUCAAGACUCCUACGGGAGGCAGCAGUAGGGAAUCUUAGGCAAUGGGCGAAAGCAUGACGGAGCAACGGCGCGUGAGUGAUGAAGGUCUUCGGAUCGUAAAAAUCUGUUACUAGGGAAGAACCGAUGUGUAAGUAAAUGUGCCCUUAUUGACGGUAACGAAUAAGAAAGCAACGGCUAACUACGUG
rnacentral:rRNA from 1 species